rnacentral:tRNA from 1 species
CUAUCGGUGGUGAAAUGGUGUCGUGCUUGCCUUCCAUGAGGAGACCGUCAGCAAGUGGCCCGGGUUCGAUUCCCGGCCAAUGUA